GGCGGCCGUAGCUCAGUGGUCAGAGCCGCGGACUUCUAAUCCGCCGACCGUCAGGGCGCGAAUCGGUGCUACCA
rnacentral:tRNA from 1 species